rnacentral:rRNA from 1 species
UGGGGAAUAUUGGACAAUGGGCGAAAGCCUGAUCCAGCCAUGCCGCGUGUGUGAAGAAGGUCUUCGGAUUGUAAAGCACUUUAAGUUGGGAGGAAGGGCAGUAAAUUAAUACUUUGCUGUUUUGACGUUACCGACAGAAUAAGCACCGGCUAACUCUGUGCCAGCAGCCGCGGUAAUACAGAGGGUGCAAGCGUUAAUCGGAAUUACUGGGCGUAAAGCGCGCGUAGGUGGUUCGUUAAGUUGGAUGUGAAAUCCCCGGGCUCAACCUGGGAACUGCAUUCAAAACUGACGAGCUAGAGUAUGGUAGAGGGUGGUGGAAUUUCCUGUGUAGCGGUGAAAUGCGUAGAUAUAGGAAGGAACACCAGUGGCGAAGGCGACCACCUGGACUGAUACUGACACUGAGGUGC